AGCAUCAUUAAACACACACACACACGGGAGAGUGUGAGUGUGUGUGAGCUGCGUCUCACCUGUGUGUGUGCUGCAGGAGUGUGUGUGCUUAAUGUGUUGAGUAUUAUAAAUGGAAGAACCUGUACAAGUAUGUGAGCCAUGAAUUGUAGAUCUGUCACCUCGCCAAAGACCCUUCCCAGAGUAUUUGGAUCUUGUUUUCUUUGUAAUGUCUUUUAGAUCCAAAUAAAAGCAAUCAAAUGUGUGUGUGUGUGAGCUGCGUCACACCUGUGUGUGUGCUGCAGGAGUGUGUGUGUGUGUGGGCUGCGUCUCACCUGUGUGUGUGUGUGUGUGUGUGUCUGUGUGUGUGUGAGCUGCGUCACACCUGUGUGUGUGCUGCAGGAGUGUGUGUGUGUGUGUGUGUGUGUGUGUGUGUACCCUACUGUAUAUUACAUCCAACUCAGCAGGAAAUUGAAACGGUUGCUCAUAUACUAAACGGAUGCUACAAUUAUAAAGGACUUUAUGUGGCCAGACAUGACCGUUUGGUUGAUCAGGUUGCAAAGGACUUGCAAAAGGUAAUCUGUGGACAUGAUAGUAAGAUAUACAAGCAUAGCACUGUACGAUUUAACUGGUUUCAUCAUGACACAUCUGACAGUGAUUACUUUAAAAAUAUUCCAAAUACUCCUGACAUUGUAAUUAUAAACGAGGUUAUGAAAUCUGUAUGUAUCUUUGAGGUGGGCUGCUGUAGUGACCUGUAUAUGGAUACUUGCUACUAUUCUAAACUAUUGAAAUAUCAGCCACUGGUAGAUCUUAUUCACCAACUUGGACACAACUGUAAAUUAAUAAUUCUGGUAUUUGGAAGUUUAGGCCAUGUCCAUAAGAAUGUGAUCAGGGGGAUGCAGUUAGGGGGGCUGCAAGAAAAGGAAGCAAAAAGGCUUGCAAUAUUCUGCUCUGUUUCAGUCACCAUAGGGAGCAUGCAAAUAUGGAGACGGAGAUUUAUUUUUGUUUAUCCUUAAUGUGUUGAGUAUUAUAAAUGGAAGAACCUNAAUGCAGGGUUAAUUGUAACACUACAAGAUUUAAACAUUUCCACACAAAAUUUACAAAAUUUCGCAAUAUUUCAUUGGCAU
ensembl:lncRNA